rnacentral:miRNA from 1 species
UGGGCCAAAGAGAAGAAACGAU